rnacentral:rRNA from 1 species
GACGAACGCUGGCGGCGUGCUUAACACAUGCAAGUCGAACGAAGAGCGAUGGAAGCUUGCUUCUCUCAAUCUUAGUGGCGAACGGGUGAGUAACGCGUAAUCAACCUGCCCUUCAGAGGGGGACAACAGUUGGAAACGACUGCUAAUACCGCAUACGAUCUAAUCUCGGCAUCGAGGAUAGAUGAAAGGUUGCCUCUACAUGUAAGCUAUCACUGAAGGAUGGUAUUGCGUCUGAUUAGCUAGUUGGCGGGGUAACGGCGCACCAAGGCGAUGAUCAGUAGCCGGUCUGAGAGGAUGAACGGCCACAUUGGGACUGAGACACGGCCCAGACUCCUACGGGAGGCAGCAGUGGGGAAUCUUCCGCAAUGGACGAAAGUCUGACGGAGCAACGCCGCGUGAGUGAUGACGGCCUUCGGGUUGUAAAGCUCUGUUAAUCGGGACGAAAGGCCUUCUGGCGAAUAGUGAGAAGGAUUGACGGUACCGGAAUAGAAAGCCACGGCUAACUACGUG